rnacentral:tRNA from 1 species
GCCUUCGUGGUGUAGUGGUCAGCACGCUCAGCGCGUAUUCGGAAAGUCUGUGGUUCAAGUCCCGGUGAAGGCG